UAUAGUAGUUUAUACGGUGACUAAUACUAUACAUUGUUAAAUUGAUAGAUUUUAUUUGGAGAAGGAGCAUAGGGGCAGCAGCUAAUUUUUUUUAGCUGCAUCAUGAUUCUUAACAUGGGCAGCAACGUACUAAUACAUUCAGUUCUUGGAAGUUUAAGCAACAACGUUAUUCGAUUUUUUUUUGGUUUUGUACAUCGCUUCAAUCUCGUUGUUCCAUCUUAUCGUGUUAUUGAAUUCGGGCUUUCUUCGAAGCGAAAUAAAGAGGAAGAAGAUUAUUUCUUGGUAUAUAAGAUUGGGAAGCCCGGGAUCUGGUUUGUGGUAAGCUUGGCUACGGUUGAUCUACGACAGGUACUGAUAGCCGGUUUGGCGACCCUUCAGCAUAGGACUUCUACUCAGCUGUUUUGGAGAGCUCCGUUGUUCCGGAGUCUAGACCUUUGGUUCAGAUCUUAUGAUGUAUAUGUAUAUGUUUAUCCAGGGGUACGGCGGGGCCCUGUCCCGUCAUAUUUCGCUAUCGAUACUCUUAGAGGUCUGUAGACAUGUGUGUGGGUUGUGUAUAGGGUCUGUUCAGCUGUGUCUAUACGAUGUGAUGUGGUAUGAUGUUCGUCUACGGUGGCAGCCUUGUCGGCUUGCAUAUGAUAUUGAUAUGUGAUGGCAGCCUUGUCGGCUUGCGUAUUAUUUCAUGA